AGUGAACGCUGGCGGUAGGCCUAACACAUGCAAGUCGAACGGCAGCACAGUAAGAGCUUGCUCUUACGGGUGGCGAGUGGCGGACGGGUGAGGAAUACAUCGGAAUCUACUUUUUCGUGGGGGAUAACGUAGGGAAACUUACGCUAAUACCGCAUAUGAUCUACGGGUGAAAGCAGGGGAUCUUCGGACCUUUCGCGAUUGAAUGAGCCGAUGUCGGAUUAGCUAGUUGGCGGGGUAAAGGCCCACCAAGGCGACGAUCCGUAGCUGGUCUGAGAGGAUGAUCAGCCACACUGGAACUGAGACACGGUCCAGACUCCUACGGGAGGCAGCAGUGGGGAAUAUUGGGCAAUGGGCGCAAGCCUGAUCCAGCCAUACCGCGUGGGUGAAGAAGGCCUUCGGGUUGUAAAGCCCUUUUGUUGGGAAAGAAAAGCAGCAGGUUAAUACCCCGCUGUUCUGACGGUACCCAAAGAAUAAGCACCGGCUAACUUCGUG
rnacentral:rRNA from 1 species